UAGAGGUUCUAGAGAAGGCGAAGACGUAGAUUGAUGUACUGAAGGAGCUUUUUCAAUUAACUCGGAGAAUAUUACAGCCUACAGGAGGUAUCAUGGUGACAGGAAGACUGAGGCACAACCAGUGGUCUCUCUGUUUGCUUUUAUGCUUUGGCUAGAAACAAGAGAUCUUCUAAUACAUACUGAAGUAGAGGAGAAGUUAGGAUGUGAGAGAUGGGGAUUACAACGUCAAUGAAACGGUCAAUGUUGUUACCGCAAAAACCACUGAAAUCGGACACAGGACAUGGGGAAUGGUGAGAGGCGUAAUGGCGUUAGCUACACAAAAGGUAGAAAAAUAUCUCUCUCUUUCAUUUACAUUUCACCAUGGCCACUGCUUUGCAUAACUGUUUAAAAUAAAUACACUGUAACUAUAUUAGUUGAACAAGGAUGUAGACUAAAUGACAUGUAUUUUGUGCCAUAGAAGUUGUACAUAUUGUUACAAAGACCGUACUAAAAGCGAAAUUUGAUUGUAACAAAGUCGUUUUCACGGUAAUAUUUGUUAAUCUCACUUGCAAAACUGUCAAGUAUUUGACAAGAUGAAUAAGAUAAAGCACAA